rnacentral:sRNA from 1 species
UCUAUAUUUAUACGUCUCUGGAAAUCUGUUUGCAAGACAAGACAAAAAUGUUUUCAACUGAGUAUUGAAUGAUUUGGAAAAUAAGAGGUAUUUUAUAUACAUGAACAGUAUGAAUUUCGUGUUCAUAACAAAAACCAAACUGUUAAUGAUUUCAAGGCAGCAAACACAGCUUGAAUGAGUUGGAUAUAUAUAAUUAUAUAAACUGUGAAAGGUUUUUAUCAUCUUUUGUUGUUCUAGUUGAGGUGGUUCAUAAACCAUGCUUAUAAUCACUACAGCUUCCCAUUAAAGAUUUAAUACACACCAUAAAUUUGAAUUUUUUAGAUCAUUAACACAACUUGUCAAAUUUGAUUAGUGAAAUUACAAAUAUAUUUGAGAUGAAUUUCUUAAAACUCCUGAUGGUUGUAAUUCCUAGUUUUUUCCCUUGGAUUUGGCUAUUGACUUGUGAGCAGAAAUUUGAGAAGCUGUAGUUGGGUAUGGCAUGGUUUGUCAGUGCCUGGCAGUUGUUGAGUGAUUUUUUAUAUCUAUUUAUUAGUCUGGAUGCCUAUGUCUUUGUUGAAGUGUAAAAGCACUGUAUAUGGAGGCUUUUUAAAAAUGUUUUCACUUUGUUUCAUACAAAAUUUUCACACAAAUAUCUAUGGAGUGUAUUUUUUUUUAUCAAAACAAAAUCUGAUGAAUUUCUGAUUGUGCGAUUUUAAUAACUUGUUUUGAUUGUUUUUCUCAGAAACACUUCUCUGAUUUACACUGCUAUUUUUUCAUCUGUUCUCCAUAUACAGCUUUCUGUCAUUGUUUAUAACGGAACGGGUUACACACUUGACAAAACCACACAGAAUUUCAAAUUUUAAAAGCUAUUUUGAUUAUUUAUCAAAUUAAAAAUUACAUGCAAGCUCAUGAUGUGGAUUUUUUUAUUUCGGUUUGAGUGUAGAAUUUAAAAAACUUAACUGCAGAUUUGUUUCCCUUUAAUGUCAAGUGUGUAACUAGGAAUACCAGAUGUAAUUUGCUUAUAUUCUUUGUGUGUGUAUGUUAUGAAGUGUAUGAAUUGAGUAUACUAGAUAAAUCAGAUAUAUUAACUC